AACGAACGCUGGCGGCAUGCCUAACACAUGCAAGUCGAACGAGACCUUCGGGUCUAGUGGCGCACGGGUGCGUAACGCGUGGGAACCUGCCCUUAGGUUCGGAAUAACUCCCCGAAAGGGGUGCUAAUACCGGAUAAUGUCUUCGGACCAAAGAUUUAUCGCCUUUGGAUGGGCCCGCGUUGGAUUAGCUAGUUGGUAGGGUAAAGGCCUACCAAGGCGACGAUCCAUAGCUGGUCUGAGAGGAUGAUCAGCCACACUGGGACUGAGACACGGCCCAGACUCCUACGGGAGGCAGAAGUGGGGAAUAUUGGACAAUGGGCGAAAGCCUGAUCCAGCAAUGCCGCGUGAGUGAUGAAGGCCUUAGGGUUGUAAAGCUCUUUUACCCGGGAUGAUAAUGACAGUACCGGGAGAAUAAGCUCCGGCUAACUCCGUG
rnacentral:rRNA from 1 species